AUUGAACGCUGGCGGCAUGCCUUACACAUGCAAGUCGAACGGCAGCGGACCUUCGGGUGCCGGCGAGUGGCGAACGGGUGAGUAAUAUAUCGGAACGUACCUUUCAGUGGGGGAUAACGUAGCGAAAGUUACGCUAAUACCGCAUAUUCUGUGAGCAGGAAAGCAGGGGAUCGUAAGACCUUGCGCUGAUUGAGCGGCCGAUGUCAGAUUAGCUAGUUGGUGAGGUAAAGGCUCACCAAGGCGACGAUCUGUAGCGGGUCUGAGAGGAUGAUCCGCCACACUGGAACUGAGGCACGGUCCAGACUCCUACGGGAGGCAGCAGUGGGGAAUUUUGGACAAUGGGGGCAACCCUGAUCCAGCCAUGCCGCGUGAGUGAAGAAGGCCUU
rnacentral:rRNA from 1 species